GAUCAUGGCUCAGGAUGAACGCUAGCUACAGGCUUAACACAUGCAAGUCGAGGGGAAACGACAUCGAAAGCUUGCUUUUGAUGGGCGUCGACCGGCGCACGGGUGAGUAACGCGUAUCCAACCUGCCCACCACUUGGGGAUAACCUUGCGAAAGUAAGACUAAUACCCAAUGAUAUCUCUAGAAGACAUCUGAAAGAGAUUAAAGAUUUAUCGGUGACGGAUGGGGAUGCGUCUGAUUAG
rnacentral:rRNA from 1 species